CCACCCCCGGCGGAAUUGGGGUCGACGGAGACCGGAUUGGUGAUCCUCGUUCCACGAGCUUCGAUUCGGAGCACUGGUGAGUCGUAGAAUUGAUCCCGUAGUGGAUCAUGGGUUAAUUGCGUGCUCCAGGUUCCAGGUUGUCGGUGUUCAUUCGGAUCGGACUUGAUCUUCCUCGCUGUUUUACUUCGUGAAGUACCCUGUUCUUCUUUAUUGCGGUUGUACUAUUUCUUUCAUUCUUGUUGUAUUUAUUUUGCACUGGAUUACUGUAUUUUUGUUUUGAAGUGCUGGAAUUUGUGGAACCAAUUUGUAGUUUGUGGGAGGAAUAAGGGGAUAUUUUUGAAGUGUGUUUUCAGUGCAGGUAAAUUUGUGGUAAGUAAAUCCCUUAGGGGAGGUGCUGCCGGAUUUUCCGUUGGAAGGUUCGGUGGUAUUUUCCUGGGAUCAGGGCUGUCUAGGGUUCCGGAGGAGGAAUUCUGGACGGGUCCUGACAGUUGGUAUCAGAGC